GACGAACGCUGGCGGCGUGCCUAAUACAUGCAAGUCGAACGAGAGCGACCGGUGCUUGCACUGGUCAAUCUAGUGGCGAACGGGUGAGUAACACGUGGGUAACCUGCCCAUCAGAGGGGGAUAACAUUCGGAAACGGAUGCUAAAACCGCAUAGGUUCUUGAGCUGCAUGGCUCGAGAAGGAAAAGAGGCUUCGGCUUCUGCUGAUGGAUGGACCCGCGGUGCAUUAGCUAGUUGGUGAGGUAACGGCUCACCAAGGCCGUGAUGCAUAGCCGACCUGAGAGGGUGAUCGGCCACAUUGGGACUGAGACACGGCCCAAACUCCUACGGGAGGCAGCAGUAGGGAAUCUUCCGCAAUGGACGCAAGUCUGACGGAGCAACGCCGCGUGAGUGAAGAAGGAUUUCGGUUCGUAAAACUCUGUUGUUAGAGAAGAACAGCGCAUAGAGUAACUGUUAUGCGUGUGACGGUAUCUAACCAGAAAGCCACGGCUAACUACGUGCCAGCAGCCGCGGUAAUACGUAGGUGGCAAGCGUUGUCCGGAUUUAUUGGGCGUAAAGCGAGCGCAGGCGGUCAAUUAAGUCUGAUGUGAAAGCCCCCGGCUCAACCGGGGAGGGUCAUUGGAAACUGGUUGACUUGAGUGCAGAAGAGGAGAGUGGAAUUCCAUGUGUAGCGGUGAAAUGCGUAGAUAUAUGGAGGAACACCAGUGGCGAAGGCGACUCUCUGGUCUGUAACUGACGCUGAGGCUCGAAAGCGUGGGUAGCAAACAGG
rnacentral:rRNA from 1 species